rnacentral:rRNA from 1 species
AACCAUCGAGUCUUUGAACGCAAGUUGCGCCCGAGGCCAUCCGGCUAAGGGCACCCCGGCCUGGGCGUCACGCUUUGGACGUUUGGUCGUUGCACCCUGGGGGGUGUGGGCGAACGCGGAGGAUGGCCCCCCGUGCCGGAAGGUGCGGUCGGCCGAAGAGCGGGCCGUCGGUGGUUGUCGAACACGACGCGUGGUGGAUGCCUUGUGCGAGCCGUACGUCGUGCCUUCGGGACCCGGGCGAGGCCUCGAGGACCCAAGUCGUGGUGCGAGUCGAUGCCACGGACCGCGACCCCAGGUCAGGUGGGGCUACCCGCUGAGUUUAAGCAUAUAAAUAAGCGGAGGAGAAGAAACUUACGAGGAUUCCCUUAGUAACGGCGAGCGAACCGGGAUCAUCCCAGCC